AUUGAACGCUGGCGGCAGGCCUAACACAUGCAAGUCGAGCGGAUGAAGGGAGCUUGCUCCUGGAUUCAGCGGCGGACGGGUGAGUAAUGCCUAGGAAUCUGCCUGGUAGUGGGGGAUAACGUCCGGAAACGGGCGCUAAUACCGCAUACGUCCUGAGGGAGAAAGUGGGGGAUCUUCGGACCUCACGCUAUCAGAUGAGCCUAGGUCGGAUUAGCUAGUUGGUGGGGUAAAGGCCUACCAAGGCGACGAUCCGUAACUGGUCUGAGAGGAUGAUCAGACACACUGGAACUGAGACACGGUCCAGACUCCUACGGGAGGCAGCAGUGGGGAAUAUUGGACAAUGGGCGAAAGCCUGAUCCAGCCAUGCCGCGUGUGUGAAGAAGGUCUUCGGAUUGUAAAGCACUUUUAUUUGGGAGGAAGGGCAGUAAGUUAAUACCUUGCUGUUUUGACGUUACCAACAGAAUAAGCACCGGCUAACUUCGUG
rnacentral:rRNA from 1 species